rnacentral:lncRNA from 1 species
AAGGCAUCGCCGAGGAAAAGUUCAAGGCCACUCUUUGCUACCUCCGGGGGAAACCCUAGAUCAGUAGAACGGAUGACGGCGAUGCUCUGGUGUCGUUUCCCUCUUGGGGGCGUCAUUCAUGGAGGUACACACGGGCUCGAGGGAUCAUUGGUCGGCAUCAACGAUGGAGCGGUGUUCCUUGUGACACAUCGACAUCGUGGAGUCUCGGCGGCGAGGCGCAGCAAAGUCUCGACGACGGAUGCGUGAUGAUGAGAGCGCGUAGGGAGG